rnacentral:rRNA from 1 species
UACGAAGGGGGCGAGCGUUGUUCGGAAUUACUGGGCGUAAAGCGUGCGCAGGCGGUUCGCUAAGACCGAUGUGAAAUCCCCGGGCUUAACCUGGGAACUGCAUUGGUGACUGGCGGGCUAGAGUAUGGCAGGAGGGGGGUAGAAUUCCACGUGUAGCAGUGAAAUGCGUAGAGAUGUGGAGGAAUACCGAUGGCGAAGGCAGCCCCCUGGGCCAAUACGUGACGCUCAUGCACGAAAGCGUGGGGAGCAAACAGG